GGCAGAUUGUUAAUUAGUGCAGGUGUCUGGGCUUUAUGGGGAGAAGGCAGGAGAAUGGGGUUGAGAGAUCAGAUAGGGUUA